UACGUAGGGUGCGAGCGUUAAUCGGAAUUACUGGGCGUAAAGCGUGCGCAGGCGGUUUUGUAAGUCAGAUGUGAAAUCCCCGGGCUCAACCUGGGAAUGGCAUUUGGGACUGCAAGGCUGGAGUACGGCAGAGGAGACUGGAAUUCCUGGUGUAGCAGUGAAAUGCGUAGAUAUCAGGAGGAAUACCGAUGGCGAAGGCAGGUCUCUGGGCUGAUACUGACGCUCAUGCACGAAAGCGUGGGGAGCAAAAAGG
rnacentral:rRNA from 1 species